GCUACUGUGCGUCACUUAUACGCGCCCAGAGCGCUUAGAGUAAACACAGCUUAGCCGUGCUUUAUAUUUAUGAACCAUACCGAGUUUAUUUCCCUGCAGAGCCCACUUUACUUGGUUUAAUCUGCUUUUUAGCUAAUGCCAUGUAACUGCGUGUCGUGACAUCAUUCCACAGCUGAGCCAGAGCCGCUCUUAGUAGCGCUAGCUAAGCUAACCGUUUGUGCAGCUGCGCUCCGGAGUCUUCAGUGGAAGUCAGCUCGGUUAGCUAACCUAGCGAAUUUAUUAAAGACAUGCCACACCGUCGGUGUCUCAAAGGGACCUUCUUGCCGGACUGAACGUGCCCAGAGCUCCGGAGGUGACCCGGUUUCCCACCGAGGACGAGGAGAAGAUGGGAACCCCGUUCAAAAUCCCUAAGAAGAAGCAGCCAGACUCCUCCAGCCUCCAGAUGAUGUCUCCUCUCUCCAGAGUCCAGGACAGCGACACCUCCAAAACAAGCUGGACCCAGGUCUCGUUGAACGGCAAAAGGCCGCACAAAAGCAGCUCCGUCAAUGGGAGAGUAGAUGCCAGCCCUGGACCUGCCGGAGCGGACAGAGCUGUCCUGUCAACCUUCCAGAGGUCAGAAGCCAGAGGACCUCCCUCGGUGAAUGGGAACCCUGCUAAGGCCGUUGGGAGCCCAAAUUCAAGGCCAGUGCCCCGGACACCCGCUGAUAACCACGUGUCUCUCACAGAUCAAAACAGAUGGAGGCCCAAAAGAGCGUCAGACACUUUAUGCCAGAGCGAGAGAGACAAAGACACACCUGCCAUUAAGAAGCAAUGGGGAUCUGGUCAUACAGUAACAUGGAAAUCUUCUCUGAUGGAGGAUGAGGAGGGUGAGGAGGGUGAGGAUGGGGACAAACAGGCUGUUUCUCCAGUGAAAGAAGCAAAGGGACCGUCCACUACUGCGGUCAGUCAGCAAGCGUCAGUCCGAAGCCUCAGCUCCACGCCUCCAGAGUCUAAAACUGUAGGGGUCAAGGGCAAUGGAGAGAGGGCACAGCCUUCUUCUGACCAGACCACGGAGGGAAAAGUGCCAGAGAAGCCAGUGAGGACCCCUGGAGAGAAAGCCUUGUCCAUGCUCUUCAGAAAAGCUGGGAACAUUCGGACUUAUUCCAGAAAUAAGCUCCAGCUGAGGCUUUCAUACAAAACGUCCCAGAGGGCCAAGCCCAGCUCCACGGAGCCUAUUGUGCUCUCCAGUGGUGAUGAAGAUGAAGGAGCAGAUGAGGGACUCGGUGACAGGCUGGGUGGAGCGAGCGCUCAGCUGAAUAAAGACCCUCAGAAGACCAGCCAAAACAUAAAAAGCACAGGAGGUCAGAAAGAGGCCACCAACACACCAUCCGUCAUGGAACUGGCGUUCUCCACUCUGCACUUCGGCCCCACGUGCACUUACGCCAAUGGACCCAUAUUGAUCACAGACGAGAGCAUCUCCAUACCACUGAAAGCAGCAGAUGGUGAUGAUGGCAUCAUGGUUGCCGUGGUACCAUCUGAACUCCGCGGUUACGGCGUGUGGGACGGCGCUUUAGCGGGCGAUGGAACUCUGCUGUCUGUCUCUCUGCAGCCUUCACCCUCCCUCCUCUUCCUCAGCCUGUCAGACGCCCAGACCAGACUGCUGCACACCGAGCUCUCAGCACUGCGCAUCACACACGCUCACAGUCAGCCGUGUCCGUUUGUGUUGGUGACUUUGGUCGGUCAGUUGGAUGAGCUGCAGUCGGCUUUGUUGGCGUCUCUGAUGGACGUGAUCGGUCUGCGUUACGGCCGGCCGUCUCUGGGAGUUUCUCUGUCCUGGGCUGAGGGGCUGAACCGGCUCCACUGUCACCCUCGGGGGAGUCAGCUUCUCACCCUGCUGGGUCAGGGAGACCGCGUGGAUGGCCAGCACACUGAGGAGGAGAAGACCAAAGAAGGCAGUCCAGCUGGGACCAGACCCAGCAGAGCAGAGGGGGCUACAAAGGCCACCGACGCAAUGGCCACAAGACACACCUCACUGCGCAGCCACACAAAACAGCAGAGCCAGCCCCGAAGGUUGAUCCAGUACCCCCCUCCGCCUUCCAAAGGCGGCAUCACCGUGACGACAGAAGACCUGGAGUGCCUUAGGGACGGCGAGUUUCUGAACGACGUCAUCAUCGACUUCUACCUCAAGUACCUGCAGCUGGAGAGAGCCGAUCAGGACGUGGCCAACAGAUCCCACAUCUUUAGCAGCUUCUUCUACAAACAGCUCACACGCAAGGACAACAGUAGUGAGGAGGAGGCCGGCAUCACGGCUCAGUGCAGACGUCAUCGCAGAGUUAAAACAUGGACCAGACACGUAGACAUCUUCAGCAAGGACUACCUCUUCAUACCAGUCAACCAGGAAGCUCACUGGUACCUGGUGGUCAUCUGCUUCCCUGGUCUUCUGGAGCCUGAGUCCGUGCCGUGGAAGCGCCCAGCUUCAGUGGUCACUUUGAGUACCACAGAGUCACCCAGCAGGCCGAGCGGCCAGGGCAGACCGCCCUCCACUGGUCAGCGGCAAACAGGAAGCGAAGAUGGACCAAAGCGCCGACCACUCGACCUGCCAGACUGUACAGUGCUGAGCUGUCAGAGGGAGAAGGUCACCAGAAGGCCCUGCAUUCUGAUCAUGGAUUCUCUGAAGCUGUCCUACCAUUAUCGCAUCUACACACUGUUACGAGAGUAUCUCCAGGUGGAGUGGGAAGUCCGGAGGGGGUCUCCUCGAGUGUUUAACGACGACAGCAUAAAAGGAAGCCACUGUAAAGUGCCCCUGCAGGACAACAGCAGCGACUGCGGCCUCUACCUGUUGCAGUACGUGGAGAGCUUCCUACAGAAUCCAGUGGUACACUUUGAUCUUCCUCUUCGAUUGGAGCGCUGGUUUCCACGGCAACAGGUCUGGCGGAAGAGGGAGGAGUUACGCGAGCUGGUGCUUCAGCUGUACCGGCGCCAACGAGGAGGAGCCGAGCAGGGCAGUGGCUGAUGUGAUGCAACCCGUGGGAACCGAGCAGCACUUGAGCAACUACCUUGGCCUUGUUUUAUACUAAUAGAGAAAGUAUUUGUAUUUAUAUUUCUUGUUAAUUUAUUUUAAUUAUAUAUAUUUUUCAGUGUAUGUGCAGUUUUCUAAUGUAUGAAGGGAAAAAAAUGUUUAUCUAAAUAAAGGAAGAAUUGUUUCUAAAGGGGAUUGUAUGCUGCUUUAAGAAGUGUUCUAAUGACGUUGAGUGUUUUUUUCAACUGUUUUUGAGUGUAGCUCAUUGAUUAGCUUGCUGGCAUCAACACAGAGAGGCUAAGGAUGCUGACAAGUAACGAAACCGUAUGUACACUAAUUAGCACUGCGAUAACUGCUCGUCUAAAUCGUCGCAUACUCAACUCAGAGUGCCAAGUCGGUAAGUCAUCUCUUAAAGACUUGCUUAUGUGGUUUCUGACAUUGUAUAACUACUAUUAUCUAUAAAAAUCAACAAAAUUAAUGACAAAAUUUAAGCAUUGAAGUGGCUGCUGCUACUGUUUGGUGCUGGGCUGUGAGUUUUCGCCCAUUCUAAAGAAAUCCGCCAAUUUUUUUAAAAAUUAAAAAUUCCAUGUAGUCCACUGUUGCGAUGUCAUCCCAAGUGGUUUUGAUACGAAAUGGUUCUUUACAGUGGUGCUGAUAGGAACCAGGGGUCUUUAUAUCCAUUCAUCAAUAUAGCCAAACCAGCAAUGAACCUACAUAAGUUUUUAUAUGUAACGUUGAUGGUUAAAAUAAAGAUGAAUCUGAAAAAUGACAUCUUUCUUUGGGGACUAUUUUGCCUUAGAACGUCCAUAUGUCUCCCCGCCAAAAUGUUAAGCACGUUUUAGGCCAAAAUCUGUUCUCUGAACAAUUUUAGAACAAUAUCAGGCUACGUGUGACAAUUUCACGUACUUGUUUUGUCAUUAACCUCUUCAGACGUCUGGUUCCUAUCACCACCACUGUAUGCAAUUCUGAUAUGGCAGGUUUCUACACAAUGGAACCACUUUAAAGGCCUUUGUUUACGUUUUUAAGUGUGCGCAUGUUCGUGUUUUAGUGUGUGACCCCUCACAGCAAGAAGGGUCUGGGUUUGAUUGCUUGGCCGUGCAGCCCGGGUCCAUUCCCAGAAGGAAAGGCAGCUUGGAUAAUGUGAGUGUGGCCCCCUUGUCCCAGACGAGAUUGAUGAGUUUUUCAUGCAUGUUUUGUUCUCCAGGCCAGGAAUAAGAGGGGUUAGCCAUAUGUGUGUAAUUGGCCUGACAGCAGGUCAGAAUAUUAAGCAUUUCAGGGUUAAUUAGAUGCCGUUGGAUGUCUGUUUUAAACUUGUUCUCAGCCACAGUGGGGGUCCUAGAUGGAUGUCCAGCCAUAAGAUGAAAGUCUGCACCAGUCUCCAAAAAGCCAGACAAUGUAACGUACUGUAGCCCCAUGUGAGAAUGCGCUUCCAUCUAUACAGGCAUCGGGGGUCUGUUUAUUUAUAAUAAUAAUAUAAUAUCUCUACAUUUUCAGAAUUUAAUUUGUCCACCUUUCCGCUCUUUUCAGGAGACUCGCUUUGUUUUUCAAAGAAACCUGCAGGGAUAUUAUUCCACACCUUUUUCUAAGUUCACUCUUAGAGCGAGGAUCUUCUUGAACAGCUACACAUCCUUUCAGAC